GAGGAGCAGGACACCGGACGCAGCGUGCAAGUCGAUAGCGACAGCCGUCAUCAAAAAGUAUGGCGCAAAAAACACAAAGCCAAACGACGACCUGACCGUAGUCGCCGCCUA
rnacentral:sRNA from 1 species